AACGCUAGCGGCAGGCUUAACACAUGCAAGUCGAGGGGUAACAGGAUAGCUUGCUAUUGCUGACGACCGGCGCACGGGUGCGUAACGCGUAUACAAUCUACCUUAUACUGGGGUAUAGCCUUUAGAAAUGAAGAUUAACCCCCCAUAGUCUCUUAGAGUGGCAUCACUUUUGGAGUAAAGGUUACGGUAUAAGAUGAGUAUGCGUUCUAUUAGUUUGUUGGUGUGGUAACGGCACACCAAGACUGCGAUAGAUAGGGGCCCUGAGAGGGGGAUCCCCCACACUGGUACUGAGACACGGACCAGACUCCUACGGGAGGCAGCAGUGAGGAAUAUUGGACAAUGGAGGCAACUCUGAUCCAGCCAUGCCGCGUGCAGGAAGACUGCCCUAUGGGUUGUAAACUGCUUUUAUACAGGAAGAAACACCUCUACGUGUAGAGGCUUGACGGUACUGUAAGAAUAAGGAUCGGCUAA
rnacentral:rRNA from 1 species